rnacentral:snoRNA from 2 species
GCCAGUGAUGAUUUUGUCUGCAAAAUGGAUGUCCUGUGGACUCAAGUCCCUGUUUCAGGGAGAACCUACUUGAGGAAGCAGCGAAUAACAUGACAUCAACUAGAUAUAUCUGAGGC